UACGUAGGGUGCAAGCGUUGUCCGGAAUUAUUGGGCGUAAAGAGCUCGUAGGCGGUCUGUCGCGUCUGCUGUGAAAAUCCAGGGCUCAACCCUGGACCUGCAGUGGGUACGGGCAGACUAGAGUGCGGUAGGGGAGAUCGGAAUUCCUGGUGUAGCGGUGAAAUGCGCAGAUAUCAGGAGGAACACCGGUGGCGAAGGCGGAUCUCUGGGCCGUAACUGACGCUGAGGAGCGAAAGCGUGGGGAGCAAACAGG
rnacentral:rRNA from 1 species